CCUACGGGAGGCAGCAGUAGGGAAUCUUCCGCAAUGGACGCAAGUCUGACGGAGCAACGCCGCGUGAGUGAUGAAGGUUUUCGGAUCGUAAAGCUCUGUUGCCCUAGACGAACGAGUCAGAGAGUAACUGCUCUGGCUGUGACGGUAUAGGAGAAGAAAGCCCCGGCUAACUACGUGCCAGCAGCCGCGGUAAU
rnacentral:rRNA from 1 species